UACAGAGGUCCCAAGCGUUGCUCGGAUUCAUUGGGCGUAAAGGGUGCGUAGGCGGCGCGGUAAGUCGGGUGUGAAAUCUCGGGGCUUAACUCCGAAACUGCAUUCGAUACUGCCGUGCUUGAGGACUGGAGAGGAGACUGGAAUUUACGGUGUAGCGGUGAAAUGCGUAGAUAUCGUAAGGAAGACCAGUGGCGAAGGCGGGUCUCUGGACAGUUCCUGACGCUGAGGCACGAAGGCCAGGGGAGCAAACGGG
rnacentral:rRNA from 1 species